rnacentral:rRNA from 1 species
AGUCGAACGAGAAUCUACUGAAAGAGUUUUCGGACGAUGGAAGUAGAGGAAAGUGGCGGACGGGUGAGUAACGCGUGAGGAACCUGCCUUGAAGAGGGGGACAACAGUUGGAAACGACUGCUAAUACCGCAUGAAGCAUAGGGGUCGCAUGAUUCUUAUGCCAAAGAUUUAUCGCUUCAAGAUGGCCUCGCGUCUGAUUAGCUAGUUGGCGGGGUAACGGCCCACCAAGGCGACGAUCAGUAGCCGGACUGAGAGGUUGAACGGCCACAUUGGGACUGAGAUACGGCCCAGACUCCUACGGGAGGCAGCAGUGGGGAAUAUUGGGCAAUGGGCGCAAGCCUGACCCAGCAACGCCGCGUGAAGGAAGAAGGCUUUCGGGUUGUAAACUUCUUUUAAGAGGGAAGAGCAGAAGACGGUACCUCUAGAAUAAGCCACGGCUAACUACGUGCCAGCAGCCGCGGUAAUACGUAGGUGGCAAGCGUUGUCCGGAUUUACUGGGUGUAAAGGGCGUGCAGCCGGGUCUGCAAGCCAGAUGUGAAAUCCAUGGGCUCAACCCAUGAACUGCAUUUGAAACUGUAGAUCUUGAGUGUCGGAGGGGCAAUCGGAAUUCCUAGUGUAGCGGUGAAAUGCGUAGAUAUUAGGAGGAACACCAGUGGCGAAGGCGGAUUGCUGGACGAUAACUGACGGUGAGGCGCGAAAGUGUGGGGAGCAAACAGGAUUAGAUACCCUGGUAGUCCACACUGUAAACGAUGAAUACUA